GGUCCCCAGGCUGGGCGGUCGUGGCAGAGGCAGGGGUGGGGAUCCAGAGCAUCUGCACUUGGUCGUGGCAUUGGGACACCCAUGAAAGUUAUUCCCCUCUGGGAGAGGAAGAACUUGAACUCAUGACAAACACAGCGACAGGGACUAGAGUCUUUUGAUUUAUUGGGAAACCAGACCCAAUGAAGCAGAGGCUUGGGCAUUAGAUCCGUUUUUAUCAAAUGAAAUCUUACCGAAGACACUAUUCUUUAAAAGACGAAAAUGGAUUGGCAGUAGUCCAAGCCCCUGCUUCCCCACCUGCAUCUUCCCUUGGGCUCCACAACACAGCUCUACCUCCAGCUGGGAAAGCACUGAUGAGAAACUUAACAGCAAAGAAGAGAUUUUUCACCACUGCUUCCUUGCAUGAAACAUCUCCAGAGCCACUCUUCAAUGGGAAAAAACCAGAAAGGACAAUUUCAAAUUUUCCUUUUUCCAUUUUCCCGGCUGGAAUCUUUUUUGGUGAGCUAAGAAGAGGAAGAGCAGCUAACAUAACCAAGACCAUGGCUCAGAAGGCAGCUGAUAGGGCAAAGUAUCCUGGGGUAAUAAAUAAGCUGCAAAAAACAAUUCAGAUCACUGGUUCUCACACUAGGCAAGAUACUAUAGCUCAUGACUGAUUUAGAAAGAUGUUUAGAUUAUUUUAUUUUAAAAUUCUUAUUUAUUUUAAAAGGAAGCAAAAUCUGUAAAGUCUUGGCAGAAUAGUAGGAAUGUGAAGAGUACUAAAAGCAAAGUCUAGAAUUACAACAGGAGAGACCCUGUUCAUAAUCAACCAUGCCAUGGGACCAUGGAUUCCUAGACUAAGGAACUCUCAGCAAACCCAUGGAGCUUACACCCGUUUCCUCAGAAGGAGAUGCUUAUUAACAUCAAGCUAGAUUACAGAUUUCAUUCUGAAAGAAAUUAAGAGAACGCUUUGCAGUAGAGCUCAACUUUUCAAAUCAAGAAACACUCGCAUCCCAACAAGAGACAACUCUGACCUCUUUCCACAAACCUGCUCUUUGAGUUAUGCAGCAUUUUCCUAGUGGUAGUGGGAUACAGUUUCCUUAUCCAGUAUAUGACUUGCAAAUAUUUUCUCCCACUCUGUGAGCUGUCAUUUCACUUUCUUGAUGGUAUCCUUUGAAGCACAAAGGUUUUUAAUUUUGAUGAAGUCCAAUUUAGUUUUUCUUUUGUUGCUUGCCCCUUUAGUGUCAUAUCUAAGAAGCCACUGCUUAACUCAACAUCACAAAGAUUUACUCCUAUGUUUUCUUCUAAGAGUUUCACAGUCUUAACUCUAAAAUGUAGGUCUAUGACCCACUUUGAGUUACUUUUUGUGCAUGGUAUGAGGUAAGGGUCCAACUUCGUUCCUGUACAUGUGGAUAUCCAGUAGUUCUGGUACCAUGUGUUGAAAAAACUAUUCCUUUGGAAUCCUUGUUGAAAAUCAGUUGACCAGAAAUGUAUGAUUUAUUUCUGAACUCUCAAUUCCCACUGCAAGACCUCUGCAAACAUUUUUCCUUUUGCCCGGAAAGCUCUUUUCCUUCGGCACUGCCUAUUAACUCCUCUUUACCAUUCACAUGUCAGUUCCCAGGUCCCUUCCUCAAAGAAGUUUUCUCUGAACCUUACAGAUUAGGCCAGGUUCAUCUGCUUUAUGUUUUCAUUCUGUCUGUACAGUACUAAAAUUCUGAUUUACAGUACUAAAUGUAUAUACAAAACGUCCAGUUUAACUAUUUGCAAUGGUUUGUGGUUUUUCCACAUUGCAAAAAUCUAAAGUGCAAAAUGUAAUAGGCUAACUUUUACCAAAACAGAGAUGGUUGUCAUAACCAUAUUAUAAAAGCAAGGUUUGUGUUUGGAAAAUCUACUACAAACAUUUCCUUUCCUGUCUUUCCAGGGAGGAAUUUAAGCUUGGACAUUGAGAGACAGACAGACACAGAAAGACAGACAGAGACAGAGAGAACAAGACUAUUACUAAAGUCUGAGUCAGUAAAAGACAUUUUAGAUUCUUAAUGGGCACAUAUAUACUAUGAAGCAUGGUGCCACGUGGGCCUUUUCUAGUACUACCUUCUAAAUUAAGUAGAACUCUUAAUUAUUCAGAGGAAGAACAGCAAGUAAGUUAAUCUCUUGUUGAUGUUCUGAAUUAACCACCCCACUCAUGAACUAAAGGAAGAGCUAGAGUAAAGAUGGGCACAGUCUUCUCUUUCAUCCUCCUCCACUUCUCUCCAAGGCUAUACAAAGGUAGAAGAGGUCAAACUUAACCUAUCCCCAACCUUCCGUUUCUCUGAGACUUCCCUUCUCCUAACUACUUUCUUCUAAAAUUAAUGAUUUUUAUAUUGAUUACAUGUGAAAAUGAUAAUAUUCUAGAUAUGUUGGGUUAUA